rnacentral:ncRNA from 1 species
UAAUGGUGCAGGUAGAGAUACGCUGUAUACUCACGUCACCGAAUGAAAGUUUAAGCGAUAUGCAAUAUCGUCGGCCGUGAGGACGCCUUCGGGCGUCUUUUUUUUAC